CCACUACUCCCUCCGUCCCAAAAUUCUUGUCCUAGAUUUUUCUAGAUACGGAUGUCUAAUACUAAAAUGUGACUUGAUACAUCCGUAUCUAGAUAAAUCUAGGACAAAAAUUUUGGGACGGAGGGAGUACUUU
rfam:Triticum aestivum genome assembly, contig: Triticum_aestivum_CS42_TGACv1_scaffold_404473_5BL